rnacentral:rRNA from 1 species
AUUGAACGCUGGCGGCAGGCUUAACACAUGCAAGUCGAGCGGGGUGAUGGUGCUUGCACUAUCACUUAGCGGCGGACGGGUGAGUAAUGCUUAGGAAUCUGCCUAUUAGUGGGGGACAACAUCUCGAAAGGGAUGCUAAUACCGCAUACGUCCUACGGGAGAAAGCAGGGGAUCACUUGUGACCUUGCGCUAAUAGAUGAGCCUAAGUCGGAUUAGCUAGUUGGUGGGGUAAAGGCCUACCAAGGCGACGAUCUGUAGCGGGUCUGAGAGGAUGAUCCGCCACACUGGAACUGAGACACGGCCCAGACUCCUACGGGAGGUAGCAGUGGGGAAUAUUGGACAAUGGGGGGAACCCUGAUCCAGCCAUACCGCGUGUGUGAAGAAGGCCUUAUGGUUGUAAAGCACUUUAAGCGAGGAGGAGGCUCUUUUGGUUAAUACCCAAGAUGAGUGGACGUUACUCGCAGAAUAAGCACCGGCUAACUCUGUGCCAGCCGCCGCGGUAA